AUUGAACGCUGGCGGCAGGCCUAACACAUGCAAGUCGAGCGAGCGGCGGACGGGCGAGUAAUGUAUGGGGACUGCCCGAUAGAGGGGGAUAACUACUGGAAACGGUAGCUAAUACCGCAUACUAUCGGCUAACCCAUAUGGGAUUAGCUAGUAGGUGAGGUAAUGGCUCACAUAGGCGACGACCCCUAGCUGGUAUGAGAGGUUGAUCAGCCACGCUGAGACUGAGACACGGCCCAGAAUCCUACGGAGGCAGUAGUGGGGAUUGUUGCACUAAGGGGGAAAGCCUGAUGCAGCCAUGGCGGGAGUAUGGAGAAGGCCCUAGGGUUGUAAAGUACUUUCAGUCGAAAAGCGUUACCGACAAAAGAAGCACCGGCUAACUCCGUGCCAGCAGCCGCGUAAUUC
rnacentral:rRNA from 1 species